UUGGAGGGUUCCUCCUGGCUCCCUCUGCGUGGAGUCCCCUGCCAGGGGUGUUGGGGACACUUGGCUCUGUCCUCAACGCUGUGACACCUGGACUCUGCAGUUUGUGCCAAGAUAGAAAACGGGUGGAAUGUUCCUGAGACGAAACCCCUCAUCCCACUGUCCAGUGGUUCCCAGACCACACUGAGUGGGUCAGAAAGCUGUCCGUCUCCUGGUCAUAAUACCCCUCACGGGCUGGAGAUAGAUUGUGCCCUCAAUUUGUCUUAGGUGGGAAGUGGAGCACAUAGAACUCUCUGAGGCCUUACGGCAGACAAGCAGGGGCAGCCAGACAAGGGCCUUGGGUGGUCUGAGCCCGGAUGUUCUAGCAGGGCGCCUGGUGCAGUCCACACGCGUGUUUUGCGGCUGACUCAGAGAGGGAAGGCAGUGGCGGGAAACACACACAGCGGCAGAUUCCUUCCCCGUCGUCAGGCACCGGCCCCGGCUCCGACCCCGACCCCGCAAGGCUGGACGCCUGCUAGGCUGGUGACUGACGUGGCCCCAGGCAGGGAGGGGACAUCAGGGCCAGAGAAGCCCAGGUCCAGAGGGAAGAGGCCUCAAGAAAAAUGCAGAGCAUCAAAACCAUGAUUGCAGGGAUUUUAGCCCUACGGCCAAGACUGAGUCAGCAGCGAUGUCAGCCCUGAGCUGACUGAAGGAAAACUAGGAAAUGAGAACACGUCUUGGACCUGCCGAGACCUUGCUGUGGACCAUGAAUGACGGAAGAGUGGGCAGCAUGGAGCUGGCCGGGCUCUGCAGGCUGUUUCUGGAAAGGGCCAGGGAGUAAAUAGUUUAGGUGCUGUGGCCACUCGGUCCCUGUUGCAACCGCUCGGCUCUGCCCUUGUACUGUGAAAGCCGCCGUGGACGACAGGCAAAUGAGUGGUCGUGGCCUCGUGCCAAUAAAACUUUAUUUGUGGGCCCUGAGAUGUGAGUUUUGUAUAAUUUCCACAUGUUGUAAAAUCAUCCCUUCUUCUUCUCCUUCU